AUGCUCUCAAAGUUUGAGCUGGGGUUCAGGUCGAGCAGGUCGUCUUCGAACUCGUCGUCGGACGACGAAGAGCCCGAGGAGGAGGAAGAGGACGAGGAGAGCGAGGAGGACGCGUGCGAGGGCGCGCUGGACGGGGCGGGCGAGGCUGCGCGUAGGCUGGCGUAGCCGCGGUGGUCAGCGGGCGAUCGGCUGGCGGCUGGCGAUGAUGCUGCGCUGCUGCGGCCGCUCAGACUCCGGCCAUCGGGCGAGCAUCCCGGGCCUCCAUCUUCGUACAACCCCAGUGGAUCACUGGGGUCGGCGCUCGCUCCCAGGCCCCCGACGGGAGACGCCGAAGCGCCCAGGCUUCCAAACAGUGCAAAGCCAAAGCGACUCUGGCUCCGGGACUCUCUGUGGGCGGAAUCGGCGCUGAGGAGUUGGUGCAAUUAUUUUGUUGCAAGGUAGGAAGCCAAGAAGCUUGCAUGCAACAGACCGGCAUGAAUAAAUGUAUGUUUCUCCCUCCCUCCUGCAAGAAGGGGAGCUGGUUACCGGCAGAGUUCCCCCACUGCAGACUCUCUAAGAAACAGCGUGCAAGAACUGGAAACCGGGAGGGAGACGGCCCUCUUCCCCUCACUCUGUUUCUCUGGCUGCAGCUUAGAGC
rnacentral:sRNA from 1 species